UGGACUGGGCUUAAGGUUUUCCUUAAGCUGCCUACGUACCCUUUAUAAUAUAGGGAUCAAGUCAUAACGUAGUUCAACUUUUUUUUGCUGGACUGGGCUUAAGGUUUUCCUUAAGCUGCCUACGUACCCUUUAUAAUAUAGGGAUCAAGUCAUAACGUAGUUCAACUUUUUUUGCUGGACUGGGCUUAAGGUUUUCCUUAAGCUGCCUACGUACCCUUUAUAAUAUAGGGAUCAAGUCAUAACGUAGUUCAACUUUUUUUUUUUUUGCUGGACUGGGCUUAAGGUUUUCCUUAAGCUGCCUACGUACCCUUUAUAAUAUAGGGAUCAAGUCAUAACGUAGUUCAACUUUUUU
rnacentral:lncRNA from 1 species